UACGUAGGGUGCAAGCGUUAUCCGGAAUUAUUGGGCGUAAAGAGCUCGUAGGCGGUUUGUCACGUCUGCUGUGAAAACUGGAGGCUCAACCUCCAGCCUGCAGUGGGUACGGGCAGACUAGAGUGCGGUAGGGGAGAUUGGAAUUCCUGGUGUAGCGGUGGAAUGCGCAGAUAUCAGGAGGAACACCGGUGGCGAAGGCGGUUCUCUGGGCAUUACCUGACGCUGAGGAGCGAAAGCAUGGGGAGCGAACAGG
rnacentral:rRNA from 1 species